ACGCUGGCGGCGUGCCUAAUACAUGCAAGUAGAACGCUGAAGAGAGGAGCUUGCUCUUCUUGAAUGAGUUGCGAACGGGUGAGUAACGCGUAGGUAACCUGCCUUGUAGCGGGGGAUAACUAUUGGAAACGAUAGCUAAUACCGCAUAACAAUGGGUGACACAUGUCAUUUAUUUGAAAGGGGCAAUUGCUCCACUACAAGAUGGACCUGCGUUGUAUUAGCUAGUAGGUGAGGUAACGGCUCACCUAGGCGACGAUACAUAGCCGACCUGAGAGGGUGAUCGGCCACACUGGGACUGAGACACGGCCCAGACUCCUACGGGAGGCAGCAGUAGGGAAUCUUCGGCAAUGGGGGCAACCCUGACCGAGCAACGCCGCGUGAGUGAAGAAGGUUUUCGGAUCGUAAAGCUCUGUUGUAAGUCAAGAACGAGUGUGAGAGUGGAAAGUUCACACUGUGACGGUAGCUUACCAGAAAGGGACGGCUAACUACGUGCCAGCAGCCGCGGUAAUACGUAGGUCCCGAGCGUUGCCCGGAUUUAUUGGGCGUAAAGCGAGCGCAGGCGGUUUGAUGAGUCUGAAGUUAAAGGCUGUGGCUCAACCAUAGUUCGCUUUGGAAACUGUCAAACUUGAGUGCAGAAGGGGAGAGUGGAAUUCCAUGUGUAGCGGUGAAAUGCGUAGAUAUAUGGAGGAACACCGGUGGCGAAAGCGGCUCUCUGGUCUGUAACUGACGCUGAGGCUCGAAAGCGUGGGGAGCGAACAGGAUUAGAUACCCUGGUAGUCCACGCCGUAAACGAUGAGUGCUAGGUGUUGGAUCCUUUCCGGGAUUCAGUGCCGCAGCUAACGCAUUAAGCACUCCGCCUGGGGAGUACGACCGCAAGGUUGAAACUCAAAGGAAUUGACGGGGGCCCGCAC
rnacentral:rRNA from 1 species